UUCAGAUGAAGAAGUAUAGCACUGGGCACUGAUUACGUACAUGAGAGUGACAACGCUUUAUUGGUGGGCCUCAGAAACCCACCUUAACUGAUUAU
rnacentral:snoRNA from 1 species